UGCAAGUCGAGAGGGUUAGACCCUCGGCAAACGGGUUAGUAUGCGUAGGAACGUACCCCAAAGUCAGGGAUAAUCCCGCGAAAGCGGGAAUAAUACCUGAUAGUCUCUUCGGAGUAAAGAUUUAUCGCUUUGGGAGCGGCCUGCGUCCUAUCAGCUUGUUGGUGAGGUAAUGGCUCACCAAGGCGAUGACGGGUAGGGGGCGUGAGAGCGUGACCCCCAACAUUGGCACUGAGACACUGGCCAAACACCUACGGGUGGCUGCAGUCGAGAAUAUUCCACAAUGGGCGAAAGCCUGAUGGAGCGACGCCGCGUGCGGGAUGACAGCCUUCGGGUUGUAAACCGCUUUUAGACGGGAAAAAUCUUCGGAUGAUGGUACCGUCUGAAUAAGAGGUUGCUAACUCCGUGCCAGCAGCAGCGGUAAUACGGAGACCUCAAGCGUUAUCCGGAUUUAUUGGACGUAAAGGGUGUGUAGGCGGCUUGAAUAGUCAGAUGUUAAAUCACUGAGCUCAACUCAGUGGCCGCAUUUGAAACGUUUGAGCUAGAGACAGGUAGAGGCAAAUGGAACUCAUGGUGUAGCAGUGAAAUGCGUUGAUAUCAUGGGGAACACCAAAGGCGAAGGCAGUUUGCUGGGCCUUGUCUGACGCUGAAACACGAAAGCGUGGGUAGCGAACGGGAUUAGAUACCCUGGUAGAAGGGC
rnacentral:rRNA from 1 species